rnacentral:rRNA from 1 species
GCUCGGGAGAGUGAACUAGCUAACUGAAAUCAAUGUAAUAUUAGAUUGAUAACAUAAGGGAGAAUAAUGAUGUUACCUUAUUAAUAGUGUCGCCCAAAGCUGGUGCCAGAAGACUCGGUAAGGCCAGAGACGCAAACGUUAGUCGUCCUAAUCAGGCGUAAAGGGUUUGUNGGCAGCUUUGANAUUUCCCUUUUUAUAUAGCACUACCUUAANAUACAANUUAUUAUCGCUWCUCUANCGGAGUUAAUAANACUUAGUGUAGGGCCGAUAUCCUUAGAUACUAAGGGGAAUAUUAAGGGCGAAAGCUUUUUUCCACUGAUGAUUGACCNCUGAGAAAGCGAGAGGUGAGGAUAGGAAAUAGGAUUAGAUACCCAAAUUACCCCUCUCUGUCAACGAUGAAUGGUGGCUACUAGUGAAUCAUUGGUGGCGAUGUUAACACGAUAACCAUUCCGCCUUGUGAGUACGACUNCAAAGUUGNAAACCCAAAAAAUUAGUCGGUCUCGAACAAACGAANNAACAUCACAA